rnacentral:lncRNA from 10 species
CCUCAUCUCAAUCUACCAAGGGGGGAUUAUCCCUCUUUUACAGAUGAGGAGACUGAGGCCCAGCAAGGCAAAAUUGUCUGUCCCAGUUUAUCCCUUUGAUAAGAGCCGCAUUUGAAUCCAGGUCUCUCUGGCCCCAAGUUGCCUAUGGCAACCAAAGCCUUCCACGUCUACCUCCAGUCACUCAGUGGUGGCCUUCCACCAAAUCUUGGUUCAUCGGUCAUGUCCAACACACCGGUAUGUGCUUCCGUGCUUAGAAAGGGAAGCCAGGCAAGAUAAGCCUCCCUGGUAUGCCUGUGGUCCCGUUUCCUGGUUCUCAUCCUGCCGUCUUUCAAGGUGAGCCUUCCAGGGAACAAUUUCUGGAGGCGUUAACCUUCAGCAUCCCAAGAAAUGCACAAAGCCACAGCUAUAGGCUGAGACAAUCUUUCUCCAGGAAACCCGAAAGGAGCCUUCUGGAAUGGCCGGGCUGGUCUGCUCACACUAGCCUUUUCAGUCACACCUGACCCAGAAAUAGCCACACCGUCUGCAGGGAUAAGUUGCUCUGAAAAAGUAGGGCGAUUGAAACCACAGGACUAUUAGACACAGCUGGAUGGGAUUUCAAGAAGCAAAGGCCUGGAUGACAAGCUGACACUAGCCUGCCGUUAUGUCAGCAUCUUACUCCUGCAGCAAUUCGAUACCUGGACACAAGUUAUUCUCCAAACCUACACUUGCCCCUGCCCUGAAGAUUUUGAAAAUGUGGUUG